UACGAAGGGGGCUAGCGUUGCUCGGAAUCACUGGGCGUAAAGGGUGCGUAGGCGGUGCGGUAAGUCUGUAGUGAAAUCUCUGGGCUCAACUCAGAGUCUGCUGCAGAAACUGCCGUGCUUGAGUGUGGGAGAGGUGAGUGGAAUUCCCGGUGUAGCGGUGAAAUGCGUAGAUAUCAGGAGGAACACCGGUGGCGAAGGCGGGUCUCUGGGCCGAUACUGACGCUGGAGGAGCGGAAAGCCGUGGGGAGCGAACAGG
rnacentral:rRNA from 1 species